rnacentral:rRNA from 1 species
GAUGAACGCUAGCGGCAGGCUUAAUACAUGCAAGUCGUGGGGCAGCAGCUCUGUAGCAAUACAGAGGCUGGCGACCGGCAAACGGGUGCGGAACACGUACGCAACCUUCCUUUAACUGGAGAAUAGCCCCUCGAAAGAGGGAUUAAUACUCCGUAACAUAUUGAAAAGGCAUCUUUUUAAUAUUAUAGCUCCGGCGGUUAAAGAUGGGCGUGCGCCUGAUUAGAUAGUUGGCGGGGUAAUGGCCCACCAAGUCUGCGAUCAGUAACUGGUGUGAGAGCACGACCAGUCACACGGGCACUGAGACACGGGCCCGACUCCUACGGGAGGCAGCAGUAAGGAAUAUUGGUCAAUGGACGCAAGUCUGAACCAGCCAUGCCG